UGUGCUGACGCCAUCUUUAACACGCAAAAUGUUGACCACCACUCAAUUAUUUUUGUCCAUUUAUGAACUACUUUUUGACUCGCUAUUUCCUUUCAUUUUCUUCUGCAUUUCCUUUUUUUCCUCCCAAAUUCAUUAAUUCUAUGCAGUUUUAACACGCAUCAUGGGAUUGUCAAGAACGGAAUUGAUAGGUUUCCGCUGUUUGGGACCCUACUUCAUUUCCCCUCUAUUCUCUCUCUCUCUCUGCGCCUGAGUCUCCACCGCCCGCCGUCUGCUCAUCGCCGGAGGAAGCCUGCUCCCCCCACCUUCUCCGCCCUAGUCGUCUUCUCUUCCACUUGCCUUUCCCCUACUGGUCGUCGAAGGAAGCCUUCUCCUCCCUCUGGCCUUCCCUCGCGUCGUCACGGCAGCCCUCGUCGCCGCUGCUUCUUCCUCUAAUUCUCCAGUCAACAUCAGUAUUAAGUCGUUGCCACCGCCUCUUUCCCCCAAACCUCAGGUCCCUAAACCCCUUCAAGGCGAGGAUGUUGCAGGUGAGGGCAAUUGGGACAGAUCUGGUGAGGUGAGGGCGGCCAUGUAGGUGGGGGACGUCGGCGGCGAGAUUCGAUAUCAAUUCGUCGAACUUGCUCCUUGCCGACUGCAAAUUUCUUCCCUCAUUUCUUGUUGUUGUUCACCCAGUUCAUGCUUUAAUUGCUUGAAAAUUUGUUGCUUUUUUGUUAUUGCUCAUCGCCCAUUUCUUGAUUUGGGUGAAAUGCUACUGAAGGAAGAGAUUUCAUUUUCGUUGGAAGAGAUCGCCCCUCUGUUGUUAGACGAUUCCCUCAGAUUUCAUAAUGGAAGAGAUUUCAUUUUCAUUUUUUUUGCUAUGUGUCUUCAAUUUCAGAUUUCAAUUUCAGAAGUGUAUUAGGCAGCUUUAGGUAUAUUACAGAUUAUUAAUUUAUUACAGAUUUU